AAUACCUGACCGCACAAAGGUAGCACAAUAAAUAGCCUACUAACUACAGGAUCGCAUGAAGGCAAAACGAAGCUUAAACUGUCUCAAGACCCUAACAGAAAAAAUAGACUGUAAGUGCAAAUCCUCUCUUUAAUGGCAAGACGAUAAGACCCUAAGAACUUUACCGAAAAAUUUUAACAUAAAUUAUUUCACAAAAAAAGAAAUAGAAAAAUUAAAAUUAUAAGUUCUGUUGGGGCAACAAUCUCAAAAAAAAUAAAUGAGAUUAAAAAUCUAUAAUCCAAAGAUACCUAAAUCACAUUAACUUAACAAGAUAAGACCCAUUAAAUAUAAAAAUUAAUGAACAAAAUAUAAAAGUUCCUUAGGGAUAACAGCGUAAUAUUGUCACUUUAGAUUCCCUCAAACAAUGUUUGCGACCU
rnacentral:rRNA from 1 species